ensembl:lncRNA GFOD3P Gfo/Idh/MocA-like oxidoreductase domain containing 3, pseudogene
CCUUCUCCUGUGGGACAACCAGGGACCGCAGCUCCCCGCUCCCCAGGUGUGGGGGCUCCGACACGAACGCCUCUGCUCGCAGGGCGGUGAGCGCAGAUCCCACGGGUCCCUCGGUCGGGGGUCGAGGCUGCUUCCGUUUCCAUCCCGGACCCGACAAUGGGCGGGAAAAAGAAGGCUUUACACGACUACGCGGCGGAGUUCACCGACCUGGUGGUGAAGCACCUGAUUGAGCACAGUGACUCUGGGGACACGUCUGUGGUGGAGACCCUUUACUGCAGGGCCUGCGAGCUGCCCGUGCGCGUGCGGAGGGACCGCAUCCUGGAACACCUGUCCUCGGGCAGGCAGCACGGCCUGCGGACGCCCAUUCUCAUGUAAAUGUCAGUGCCAACGCUGGUGUUUCAGGAGUCAUCCCAGCGGGCUGCGGGCUAUUUUAGGAUUCUCUGCCCUGCAAACGUUUCCAAAGUACGUGGACAGGCCGCCUGAUGACACUACGUUUACGGGAUCUGCUAGUGGCUUGCCUACUUAGGGAGUAAACCCUGUGAAGUCUCGCAGUUUUGUUAAAGUGUGCGUGGCCACCUGAAUGCUGCCUUAUCACAAGCCAGAUACAUACUGGUCUGUAGGGUAACUCCCCACUGUUGAUCCUCUGAGAUGAUUGUGGACUGGGUGCUGUGAGUCCUGCCACUUUGUUUAAGUGAAUGUGUCUUUUGUCCAGCUCAGCCGCCUCGGAUCUCGCUGCCACCAGCCUUACUGCACACCCGUGCCACCCGCCCUUGCCCCGUCAGCCUCAGCCUCAGCUCAUUCUCUCAGGCAGUCCCAGCAUUGGCACGGUACCUCCUCCCGCUGUGGGCCACACGUCUCUGCUCCCUGUCAACCCUCCUGCCAUCAGCACCACCACCAGCGACUUGUCUGCCCGGGAGGAUGCAACACCAUCUGCCUCCACCGGCCACCUUUCAGUGUUUCCUGCUUUCCAAGUAAAGAUACCAGCAGUGCCCUCAGAGCAGACCAGCCAGAGUUUUUCUGAAGCCUCCCACAGGGUGCUCCCCGGAGGAGGCCCGAGAUGCUCUCGUGACUUUGGAGCCGGGGUGGCUGGCCACCUUGGCCUGGGCAUCUUUGGGGUGGGCUUCGGGAGCCCGGCACUGCUGCAGAGUGUGGUGGAUGAGAACAGCUGCUGCUUGCUGUACGUGGUGGAGGACCAGCUGUGUGAUGUGGAGCAAGCCUUCAGAGCUGAGCAUUUGGGCCAACACCAGAGUGGUUCGGGAACAGGAUGCAGACAUUGUCCUCAACGACCAGCGGCACUUUGAUCCGGUUUUCCAGUUCUUGCACAAGCAAGUUUGUGUCAGCCACGCCCUGGGGAGGAUCCACUGGAUCACCGCCGUCACUGCCUGUUCCCGGCGGCCUCUCCGGCUUCCCUAAAGAGAGCAGUAGCUUCCCUCGAGACCAGAAGCCAGAGCUCACCCUCCCUUGUGUCCAGGUGGGACUUUCUACAACGCUGCUGUGCACGACGUGGAUGCCGUAUGCAUGUUGCUGGGGGAAGCCACUCCGGACACUGUGUUUUCUCUGGGACAUGUCUUCUGCCCAGGUUGCAAAGGUGAAGAAACACAGUCCCGGCUGGAAGUCACAGCCAGGGUGGGAUGCACACAGAUUAGCAGAUCAUCAGCGAGCACCAGAUAUGGCCGCCUUAAAAGAUGCAGAUGCUGUUGUGAUCAGCAUGAAGUUUCCCUGUGAGGCCGUGGUUAGCGUGGACAUCAGCCAGCACUGCACAGACAGCUGCGACCAGGACGUCAGCCAGCACUGCACAGACAGCUGCGACCAGAGACUGGAGGUGACCCUUGCCCUUUUCCACCCUUCGCCAGUCCACUGUGAAAAGCUGGGUUGAUUGUGCGGGUUAGAUAGAGGUCAUCAGCCGGGUUGAUUGUGUGGGUUAGACAGAGGUCAUCAGCCAGGUUGAUUGUGUGGGUUAGAUAGAGAUCAUCAGCCUGGUAGAUUGUGUGGGUUAGAUAGAGGUCAUCAGCCAGGUUGAUUGUGCGGGUUAGAUAGAGAUCAUCAGCCGGGUUGAUUCUACAGGUUAGAUAGAGGUCGUCAGCCGGGUUGAUUGUGCGGGUUAGAUAGAGAUCAUCAGCCGGGUUGAUUGUGCGGGUUAGAUAGAGGUCAUCAGCUGGGUUGAUUGUGUGGGUUAGAUAGAGAUCAUCAGCUGGGUUGAUUGUGUGGGUUAGAUAGAGGUCGUCAGCUGGGUUGAUUGUGCGGGUUAGAUAGAGGUCAUCAGCCGGGUUGAUUCUACAGGUUAGAUAGAGGUCAUCAGCUGGGUUGAUUGUGCGGGUUAGAGAUCAUCAGCCGGGUUGAUUGUGCGGGUUAGAUAGAGGUCAUCAGCUGGGUUGAUUGUGUGGGUUAGAUAGAGGUCAUCAGCUGGGUUGAUUGUGUGGGUUAGAUAGAGGUCAUCAGCUGGGUUGAUUGUAUGGGUUAGAUAGAGGUCAUCAGCUGGGUUGAUUGUACGGGUUAGAUAGAGGUCGUCAGCCGGGUUGAUUCCGCAGGUUAGAUAGAGGUCGUUAGCUGGGUGUGUGGGUCCCAAGGCGUGCUGCAGAUGGAGAAUCAGAAUUCCUUGGGCAUCACCGGGCGGGGCAUGUCCCUGUCCCUUCGCUCCCAGACCCAGGCUAGCCGCUACCAGGACUCCUAUCGAGAGCUCUUCAGACACUUUGUCAGAACCCUUAAAGGUGGGUGACGUUUUCAGGAGGAACCUGGGAUGUCCUGAUGCUCAAUGGGUAGAUGCCUUCCAGGCUGCAGUCAGUGCAGAUGAUAUGCCAAUUUCAGGUGGAAAAUUGCAUUCCAGAUACCGGGUUCAGAUUUGAAAUUGUCCAUCUCAGUGAUCAUUUACGUUGCGUGUACUUGAGGGAGAUUCUGAGAGAUGCUCCUUUGGGGUUCUGUGCGUGUACCAUGUUGCCUGACACGUCCUGAGAAAUCUUCUUAAACUCUGAGUUUAUAAAAUAACUACUUCUGAACUCCUGAGAUCUAGUGGAUACCAUGUAUCCUGGAAGAUAGGACACUUUCUACCCUCUGUCAGUCCUGGGGGUGACUGGGAACCAGAGAGGUUGAGCAGAAUUCCUGGACCUGGGUGGGGCUUGUCCAAGAGGGGCAGGUGGGCCUCUCUAGGAUCAGUGUCCCACCCAGAGGCCAGUGGCCCCUUCACAUGCCCCAACAAGAGGAAGACUGUCUGGCUCCGCAGUGUUGGGUUUUGUCCUGAAUCUGUGCAAAUGUGCAGGGAAAUAACCUCCUGAAAUCACCAAAGAGCAGUUCCUCAGGGCCUUCCGGGUGACCGUGGCCGUGGAGCAGUCGUGGUGAAACCGGUCAGCUGUGGACCUGCCCUGCGAAUCGGCAGAGGCCUCCGUGGUGAAGACAGAAGCUCCGUGAACCAACUCGAGGCUGGAGCCAAGAUCCUGCCUGAUAUCCAGUUGCCUGUUUCACUUGUUACUGUUACUGGGAGAGGGAGACAAAACCUCAUGGCAAUCUUGUCCUCACUGGAGACUCAGAAGGGGAAGCAUUGGGAAACCAUGUAUGUUUCAUUUCUGGUUUAACCAGGCUUUUCAGGAUGGGACUUCAGACCAAGGACACAAGUUGGGCUUGCUUAGGUGUUUUGUGUUGUGCGCAGGCCUCAGAGAUGCUCUUCCGGUCAGAGUUCCCUUGGCAGGGCCUUGGAGGCCUCUGGUUGGCUCUCUCAGGAAGAGGGCAGGUCAGGGAUUGGGCGGUGUAAAUUGACUCAGAAACCUGCGGUUUCAGCUUUUCUGUGGCAAACAGGGCCGAGGGCUGGUGAAGCUGUUAAGGCUAAAUGUCGCAUGCAUGAGGCGGGCUGCAGGCCUCCUUAGGCCUUUUUUGGGGUAAUUACACCAGUAUUUAAAAACAUUUUUUUUUGUUUGUUUUGAGAUGGAGUCUUGCCCUGUCACCCAGGCUGGAGUGCAAUGGUGCGAUCUCGGCUCACUGCAACCUCCGUCUCCCAGGUUCAAGCGAUUCUUCUGCCUCAGCCUUCUGAGUAGCUGGGAUUACACGCGUGUGCCACCACGCUCGGCUAAUUUUUGUAUUUUUAGUAGAGAUGGGAUUUCACCAUGUUGGCCAGGCUGGUCUCGAACUACUGACCUCGUGAUCCACCUGCCAUGGCCUCCCAAAGUGCUGGGAUUACAGGCGUGAGCCACCAUGCUCGGCCUAAAAAACAAUUUUCUUGAAGAAUCCGAUUUUGUGCAUAGUAAUGACACAGCACCAUUCCUGAGAAAUAGGAAAUAUAUGUGUGUGGUAUGAAAAGCCCAUAUUCUGUUCUUGUCACCUGAAUCUAGGCUUCCUCUUUGGAUGUGAACGCGGGAAUGAACAGUGGCUGUUUUCCACCCAAAGGGGCGUGGAGACCUUUUGGAAACGGGCUUUCUCCUUUCCAUUUUGCAGCCGGGGGCGGGUGGAAACCUUCCUUCGAAGGGUAGUGCCUUGGGGAGCAGCAGACCUGCUCUGAGUCCAGCUUAGCUUUCCAAAAUUCUGUGUGGAACUUACUGGAGAUGUUUUUAUAUAUUUGAAAAUAAUGGCCUGUAUUUCUCACGCUAUACUUAAAAAAAAUAACUAACCUUUUAAAC